rfam:Triticum aestivum genome assembly, contig: Triticum_aestivum_CS42_TGACv1_scaffold_289593_4AL
AUGAUACUCCCCAUCCCAAAAUUUUUGUUUUAAAUUUGUCUAAAUACGGAUGUAUCAAGACACGUUUUAGUAUUAGAUACAUCCGUAUCUAGGCAAAUCUAAGACAAGAAUUUUGGACGGAGGGAGUACUAC